AUAGCUGGUGAAGAAAGGGCCGGGCAAGACCGGUGCCAGCCGCCGCGGUAAUACCGGCGGCUCGAGUGGUGGCCACUAUUACUGGGCUUAAAGCGUCCGUAGCUUGAUUGUUAAGUCUCUUGGGAAAUCCACCGGCUCAACCGAUGGGCGUUCAGGAGAAACUGGCAAUCUAGGGACCGGGAGAGGUGAGAGGUACUCCAGGGGUAGGAGUGAAAUCCUGUAAUCCUUGGGGGACCACCUGUGGCGAAGGCGUCUCACUAGAACGGCUCCGACAGUGAGGGACGAAAGCUGGGGGAGCAAACCGGAUUAGAUACCCGGGUAGUCCCAGCUGUAAACGAUGCGCGUUAGGUGUAUCGGUGACCACGAGUCAUCGAGGUGCCGAAGGGAAACCGUGAAACGUGC
rnacentral:rRNA from 1 species